CCUGUAUUAGAAGUUUCAAGAUGAUCAAGUUGGGAAUCAAAUAUUGAUGCAAAACAUAUCAAUGCAAUUAGAUCUACUGUGUAUCACACAUGAUAGCACCAACUAACACAUGACUAGAGCGCUGCAAUUAACUGUUUGCCCAAGAAACCCUCAGUUAUUACUUAAGCCCAUUUAAAGCUGUUCAUAUCAUAUAGCUCUUUACAUUCCAGGGCAAAUUAUGCUCAUUUACCAUAUAUUAAUAUCAGCGGGUGGAAAAGUGGAGGGGAAAGUGACCAAAUCUAGACCAGACUUGCACAAACAAUAACUUAAAACGUGAAAUCGUGAACAACAUAAUUCUUCUAUACUGUUAUUCAGUUCAACAGCCAACUAUCUCUCGUUAUUUUUUUCAAACCAGUUUGCCUUAAGAAAUUGCACUUGAAGUCUUUUGUUGAUAAGAAUAAAGGACUUACCAUAUAACCUCUGUAGGCUGCUUGAAUUUUUGUAGCUGAAGCAUGAUGGUUCCUUAAAGUUGGUUCUGGUCGAGGACGAACAAUUCUAGGAGGAGCAGCUCUUGGAGAAGCAGCUCGUGGAGGUGGAGCUGGAGCUGGAGAAGCAACUCUAGGGGAAGCAGCUCGUGGAGGGGAAGCAGUUCUUGGAGAAGCAACCCUGGGAGAGGCAAUCCUCUGAGAAGGGACACAUGGAGAAGCAACUCUAUGAGGCACAAAAGGUGGUGUUCUUGGCUGGUCUGGAGGUGUGGGAGGCCUG
rnacentral:lncRNA from 1 species